UACAGAGGGUGCAAGCGUUGUUCGGAAUUAUUGGGCGUAAAGGGAGUGUAGGCGGCUCAUUAAGUCUUCUGUGAAAUCUACGGGCUCAACCUGUAACGUGCAGAGGAUACUGAUGAGCUUGAGUGUCGGAGAGGAUAGUGGAAUUCCCGGUGUAGAGGUGAAAUUCGUAGAGAUCGGGAGGAACACCAGUGGCGAAGGCGACUGUCUGGCUGACAACUGACGCUGAGACUCGAAAGCAUGGGGAGCAAACAGG
rnacentral:rRNA from 1 species